UCCAGGGAGUAAUGACAACACUUGGAGCUCCCUUAGUAUUCAUGAAUUGAUACAUAAAUGAAACAGAAGGUGUUCGGGUAGCACCAGGCCAUUCUCCAUUUGUUGUCCGGCCGGUGGAGUCAAGCGAAGUUCAGAUGUGGGAGCCCAGCUUCCAAGGUGUAGCAGACUGGAAGACAACCGCUGCUGUUUAACUUGUGUAUUUCAGGCUGUGCAAUUGUGUCUUUCGGAGAGUUCUUAAAUGUUGAUUUCGGGGAAGUUCUAUUUGUACAUAUCUGCAGUCCAUUUUUUGGCACAAAAUAGUUUCGCCGCUUUAUUUUUGUAUGUACAUGUUUAUCUUUCUUUUACAGCAUCAAGCGGUUCAACUAUUAACUUUGAGAAGUUUAA